rnacentral:rRNA from 1 species
AGAGUUUGAUCAUGGCUCAGGACGAACGCUGGCGGCGUGCCUAAUACAUGCAAGUCGAACGAAACUCUCUUACACCGAAUGCUUGCAUUCAUCGUAAGAAGUUGAGUGGCGGACGGGUGAGUAACACGUGGGUAACCUGCCUAAAAGAAGGGGAUAACACUUGGAAACAGGUGCUAAUACCGUAUAUCUCUAAGGAUCGCAUGAUCCUUAGAUGAAAGAUGGUUCUGCUAUCGCUUUUAGAUGGACCCGCGGCGUAUUAACUAGUUGGUGGGGUAACGGCCUACCAAGGUGAUGAUACGUAGCCGAACUGAGAGGUUGAUCGGCCACAUUGGGACUGAGACACGGCCCAAACUCCUACGGGAGGCAGCAGUAGGGAAUCUUCCACAAUGGACGCAAGUCUGAUGGAGCAACGCCGCGUGAGUGAAGAAGGUCUUCGGAUCGUAAAACUCUGUUGUUAGAGAAGAACACGAGUGAGAGUAACUGUUCAUUCGAUGACGGUAUCUAACCAGCAAGUCACGGCUAACUACGUGCCAGCAGCCGCGGUAAUACGUAGGUGGCAAGCGUUGUCCGGAUUUAUUGGGCGUAAAGGGAACGCAGGCGGUCUUUUAAGUCUGAUGUGAAAGCCUUCGGCUUAACCGGAGUAGUGCAUUGGAAACUGGAAGACUUGAGUGCAGAAGAGGAGAGUGGAACUCCAUGUGUAGCGGUGAAAUGCGUAGAUAUAUGGAAGAACACCAGUGGCGAAAGCGGCUCUCUGGUCUGUAACUGACGCUGAGGUUCGAAAGCGUGGGUAGCAAACAGGAUUAGAUACCCUGGUAGUCCACGCCGUAAACGAUGAAUGCUAGUGUUGGAGGGUUUCCCGCCCUUCAGUGCCGCAGCUAACGCAAUAAGCAUUCCGCCUGGGGAGUACGACCGCAAGGUUGAAACUCAAAUGAAUUGACGG